AGCCACCCAUACACCAACAUUCAUUCCGCAAGGAAAGACUAAUCGCGAAGGAAUGAAUGCCGGUUAGUGAGAUUUGAGAUGACGGGCCGACGCUCAAAAUUUUCCUGUCGGCAAAUCCCGCCGUCUUGAAGUGAUGACUGGCGUUUUAGUUAGUGUGUUAAUACUUGUCUUGACGGGUUUAUUUUAGGUACUUUUGUUGUAUCUUGGCGUGUCACCUCAAGUGUUAUUUUCAUUUUGAAUUGGUUUAUCACAUAUUUAUUUGUACGUACCUACUCGUAUAUAACUACUACUAUGGAGGACGAUAAUGCACAAAGCUCCAUAGUCGAUGAAAGUUGCGAAAAAUACGACAUCCGAAAUACCCCCAAGAGAAUUUUGAAGGAAUUUAUUGAAAAAUACCGUGAACUACCCCAGUUGUGGCAAAUCAAAAAUAAAGACAUUUACAACAACAGGAAUUUAAAGAAUCAUGCUUACGCCGAGUUACUUAAAAUUUGGAAGAAGUUUGAUACCGAAGCCGACCAAAAGACCGUAAAAUAAAAAAAUCAGUCACUAAGAGGAUCUUUCCGAAAGGAACUAAAAAAGGUUGAAAAGUCGGAGCGAUCCGGCAAAGGAACUGAGGAAAUCUACAAAUCACAUUUGUGGUACUUUAACUUAAUGAUGUUCCUAAUAGACCAAGAAUGACCAGCAGAGAGUAUCGAUAAUAUUACGUCCGUAACUCCAAAUCUGACUGAAGUUGAUGAAAGUCAGGAAGCUAAUCAAAAAGUAAAUGAAGAUACUGGGGGAAUAGAAGUUAAUGAAGGAAUAGAAGAAACAAAUGAGGUGAUGAACACAUCAUCAGUUGUCGAAAAAGAGAAAAGGAAAUAUGCUGAAGAACACGGGCAUGUUACUGGUAAGAAACAGAAAGUCAAUGAAGGAAGAGAAAGAAAAAUAUUCAUUCAAAAAUGUACAGAAGCCCUCACAGCCACACCAACUGAAAGUGAAGCGUUAGCUCAGUACAUCGCUGCCAAAUUCGAAAAAGUUACGAAGUUGGAACAAAAAAUGUAUGCCGAAACGCUGCUGACAAAAGUGCUGAAUAGAGCUAUAAUGAAUAAACUAGAUGAACCUACAGAUUUGACUAAUGCUUCACGGACAUAUCACCCUUGCGAACGUUCAUCUGUACAGUCCACAACAUCUCAGUGUUCAUAAACUAUGAUCAAUUCUCCUUCAUCGCCAGUAAUACCAUUCAGUCCAAAUACCACAGAAACACAAAAUGAAAUUUUUAAUGGUACCUCACAAAUACAAACACUUUCUAAUACUGCGGCUACCGCCACAGAAAUGCAAGAUUUCUUUUCCCCAAAUUUAAAGGAUUUGUAUGCUAAUGUUUCUAAGGAAUUUAUUGAUUAAAUA